GAUGAACGCUGGCGGCGUGCCUAAUACAUGCAAGUCGAGCGAACGGACGAGAAGCUUGCUCCUCUGAUGUUAGCGGCGGACGGGUGAGUAACACGUGGAUAACCUACCUAUAAGACUGGGAUAACUUCGGGAAACCGGAGCUAAUACCGGAUAAUAUUUUGAACCGCAUGGUUCAAAAGUGAAAGACGGUCUUGCUGUCACUUAUAGAUGGAUCCGCGCUGCAUUAGCUAGUUGGUAAGGUAACGGCUUACCAAGGCAACGAUGCAUAGCCGACCUGAGAGGGUGAUCGGCCACACUGGAACUGAGACACGGUCCAGACUCCUACGGGAGGCAGCAGUAGGGAAUCUUCCGCAAAGGGCGAAAGCCUGACGGAGCAACGCCGCGUGAGUGAUGAAGGUCUUCGGAUCGUAAAACUCUGUUAUUAGGGAAGAACAUAUGUGUAAGUAACUGUGCACAUCUUGACGGUACCUAAUCAGAAAGCCACGGCUAACUACGUG
rnacentral:rRNA from 1 species